GACGAACGCUGGCGGCGUGCUUAACACAUGCAAGUCGAACGGUGAAGGGACCGGUUUUUGCUGGUUCUGGAUGAGUGGCGAACGGGUGAGUAACACGUUAGUAACCUGCCCCCUUCUUCUGGAUAACCUCAUGAAAGUGUGGCUAAUACGGUAUAUUCUGCGCCUGCUGCAUGGUGGGUGUGGGAAAGAUAUUGUUUCUGUGGGGUAUGGGCUCGCGGCCUAUCAGCUUGUUGGUGGGGUGAUGGCCUACCAAGGCGGUGACGGGUAGCCGGCCUGAGAGGGUGGACGGUCACAAUGGGACUGAGACACGGCCCAGACUCCUACGGGAGGCAGCAGUGGGGAAUAUUGCACAAUGGGCGCAAGACUGAUGAAGCGACGCCGCGUGAGGGAUGGAGGCCGUCGGGUUGUAAACCUCUUUCGCCAGUGAAGCAGGACUGUCCCUUUUGUGGGUGGGUUGACGGUAGCUGGAUAAGAAGCGCCGGCUAACUACGUG
rnacentral:rRNA from 1 species